rnacentral:rRNA from 1 species
UACGUAGGGUGCGAGCGUUAAUCGGAAUUACUGGGCGUAAAGCGCACGUAGGCGGGUCGUUAAGUCAGGGGUGAAAUCCCGGAGCUCAACUCCGGAACUGCCUUUGAUACUGGCGAUCUAGAGAUCGAGAGAGGUGAGUGGAAUUCCGAGUGUAGAGGUGAAAUUCGUAGAUAUUCGGAAGAACACCAGUGGCGAAGGCGGCUCACUGGCUCGAUACUGACGCUGAGGUGCGAAAGCGUGGGGAGCAAACAGG